CGGGUGAGUAAUGUCUGGGAAACUGCCUGAUGGAGGGGGGUAACUACUGGAAACGGUAGCUAAUACCGCAUAACGUCGCAAGACCAAAGAGGGGGACCUUAGGGCCUCUUGCCAUCGGAUGUGCCCAGAUGGGAUUAGCUAGUAGGUGGGGUAAUGGCUCACCUAGGCGACGAUCCCUAGCUGGUCUGAGAGGAUGACCAGCCACACUGGAACUGAGACACGGUCCAG
rnacentral:rRNA from 1 species